UACGUAGGGGGCAAGCGUUGUCCGGAAUCAUUGGGCGUAAAGCGCGUGUAGGCGGCUCGGUAAGUCUGCUGUGAAAGUCCAGGGCUCAACCCUGGGAUGCCGGUGGAUACUGUCGAGCUCGAGUCCGGAAGAGGCGAGUGGAAUUCCUGGUGUAGCGGUGAAAUGCGCAGAUAUCAGGAGGAACACCAAUGGCGAAGGCAGCUCGCUGGGACGUGACUGACGCUGAGACGCGAAGCGUGGGAGCAAACAGG
rnacentral:rRNA from 1 species